GAUCGAGCACAGCCAAAAAUCUCGCCGCUAAAGUACUAAAGUCCUAAGUAAAUAUAAUAUAAACUUAAGCCAAAUAGUGUCAGUUACAUAUGACAAUGGUACCAUUUGUUUUCGAUGAAAAUCUUGGUAAGGACUGCGAAUAUUGUUCAAACGAUGAAUAUUUAAAAAUAUCGAAAAAGUGCCAAACGUGUUAAUAAGGAAAAUUCAAGUUUGUCGUUGUGCUGCACAUACAGCUCAACUGGUUCCUCUUGAUGUUACCAAAUCGUCGGAUGUGUUGAAAUACCAAUUUAAUUGUCGCAACAUGACGAAAUUUAUAAGAAAAACUUCAAAUGGAUAUCGCGAAAUAUUCAAGCUGAAACAGCUAAAAAUGCCGAAACUAGAUUAUUCGACCAGAUGGGGAUCCACUUACACGAUGCUAAAGGAUUUGUUAGUGGCCAAAGAUGAAGUAACUGAAAGUGAGUCAACUGAAAACAAUCGAACAAUUCGAAGAAGACAAUUUUUAAGUGGAUGCAUCGUUGUGGAAUUUUAUUGAAAACUAUUGCUCAGUUUUCAGUCCAUUGCAGAAAACAUUAAAAAAAUUCAAGAAGAACAACUACAUUAUGGAAAUUUUUACGCCCAAUGGCCAAAAUUAGAAAUUUGCACAGAAAAAAUUCAAAUCAUUUUAAAUCGAUAUGGGUCAGAAUAAAUGACAAAUUCUACUGGACAGAUAUGCUCAACACCAAAUCCGGGCUCACAUUAAUCUGUGAACCAUUUUUUGAUGAAUAAGAUGAAUUGUUAAACGCUUACUUAGAGCAAGGGAUCCAAACGGAAGUCAGACGUCUACUCAAAGAUUGAGAAUCUUCAACUUUCUUUCCAAAGAAUCGAUGCAGACGUUCUCACAUUUUGGAAAGAAAAGCAGUGCACUGACCAGGAGCUAUAUGCACUAACUAAUGUUUGCUUUGCGGUACCACCAACUCAGGUGACGAUUAAAUGAGCAUUUUCGACGCUAAGACUUGUACUUACUGAUUACCGAAAUCGACUAAGUCAGGAAGUACUAGAGAAUAUACUGCUGGUCAAAUUGAAUCCAAGCUUUCUGGAUUCAACGAUUGACAACUUAUCUCUUUUUCAAGAUGAAAAAGAUUUUGAAAGUUUAUUUUGAAUAACAUUGUAUUUUAUGAAAAAAAAAAAG